AGUGCAGGUUGUUUAUGCAGCACGUAUUGCAUGGGUCACGAUAUUCCAAGUUCUUUGGAUACUUUCUCCGCUCGCGCCGUGCUGUGGAUAUUGUAAACACUUUCGAUACUUUUCUUCGGAUUGCGAGCGUCUUCACCACGAAACAAUGCCAUUCAAAGAGCAUAAUCCGCGUGAGUCUCUCCUUCCUACUCGGAGAGCACCUACGUCACACGUCUCGCACGUGUAGCAAAGCUGCAUUCCAGUCACUGGAGAUGGUGGAGAUUUCGGACUCCUAGCCAAUGACGAGCCUCGUUGACACAAGCAGCGGCGUGCGGGGAGAAUCGGUUGUGGAAACAUCGCUGUGACCUUGCGGAGCGCUGAAAACGUAGUGCGAACAUGGAAUGGAAUAUUGUGGGCUUUUGGUACCUUUUUGAUCUGGCUACCUUGGAAUUGACAAGUGUAAAUAUGUUUAGAAUUGACCUCACUUCCCGAUAUUACAACAAAAUCAAUGUAUAUGCGUCCCGUAUUUUGAAUGGUUGAUGAUGCGCGACGUCAAAAUGACGUGUGGCUACUGUCGACAGGGCAUCACAGGGCGGGGCAUGAGCGCAAAAGAGUGCAGUGAAUAUUCGGUCGGUUUGGAGUCAUUAUUUACUUUUUUGCGACAAAACUUUUUGCUAAACAUCACGUAGGAAACGAAUCACACUGCAUUAGAAAAAAGUGCGCCUUGCAUACCUGUUUAUUGCCCCUUUAACAAAUCCUAUUCCCACAGGCUGUAACCUAGUUUGCAUUUGCAGUUGAAGAGUUAGAAGCAGGGGAUUACGAGACGUCCGUGUCAACACUCCUCGAAGGAAGGUAUUAAAGAGAAUAAAAGAUAAGCGAAGACCAUAAGAAGCUCAGUAAGGAAAAGCAGUGGUCAUUCUAUGUGUAUUGGAGACCCUAUAUACUAGCUUCCACUGUCUCAAGAGAACCGCUGUGAGGUAUGGGACCACGUGUACUAAAAAUGCUGGUUAGGUGGGUUCUCUGGUACCCGACGUUGUUGUUGCGCCAUUAAACUCCAAUUCAAUCUCUGGUACAUGUGUAAAGAGGCCACCACACACACACGCACGCACGUCACACAAGCACAGACACAGAGAGAGACAGACAGACAGCAACGAUGAUAAUAUAGUGCUGAUGCCCUCCAGUAGGCAGGGCCCAGAACGCAUGCAGUACAGCAAACAAAAAGUCCUACAUACGUAGCUUGUAGGGGGGGGGGGAAUUGAGGGCUAUGUGGGGCAAACGGGUACUGAUGCGUGAACGUCAGGUUCAGGUUCGAAUAUCAAGGGUUCUGUCAGUGGCAUCUAGUGAUGCAUGUGCAGCGCUGUGCGUGUACUGCGGUAUUUGGACGCACCAUCAGAAAGGGCUCCGUGGAAGAAAGAAAACAGAAGCGUUAGAAGCAUAUUUGUUUGAAAAACUAGGGGACUGCAAGUGGGGAGAGUCAACCGUCGUUGAUGCGAAUCCACCGAGAGGUAACUUACCUUGACGGGAACCGUACUCUAGAUUUUUAGAUGCAAUUGCUGCACAGGUUAGUGGUUCAGCGCCGGAGAGCGCCUGUGCUGACAUUCGUUAAGUAUAUAUAUGUAAGCUUGUCCGUCCAGCAAAACAUGUGGAUAGUGGAUCACCUGUGUGUCGUCUCCCGUUUUGUUCGCGUCUUCUUGGCACCAGAUAUUCUCAAACGGAUUUGUACCAACGAGCUUAGUUCCCUGUCCUGGUUGAGCCUCAAGGCUCAUUCACGCAUGCGUUUCAAAAAGCGGUGCCGCCUCACCGUUCGCGGCGCGGCCGAGGACGCUAAAUGCGGUGUGCCAUGAACAGACCGACCACUUUGGCGUCGCUCAUGAUUUUCGGCGUCUCGCGAUGAAAGCAACGAAUUAUUAUAAUAUUGCGACACGUACUUGCUGCACCUUUGACAACCUCUCGGAGUGACGUAGCCAGAAGCGGGGGGGGGGGGGGGGGCUUUGAGGGCUUCAACCCCUGCCUGCCAUAGUGCAUUUGGGUAAAGAAGUAUACCACGGUAAAAUCCUCCUCCCUGAGAUAGCCGUAGAGUGGGUAAAAGACAGAUGUUUACUGAUAGAGAUUAAAACGGAAUCUCCAUCAAAGCACAUCUGGCACCCGCCAUGCUAUCAUCGCGCUCUUGCGCAUCUUCUUUAGAGAUGUCGUGACAUCACACUCCCCAUGUAAAGUUCUCAUAGCACCUCCCCGAAAAGUGUUUUUCUGGCUACGCUACUCUGUCAGUUCUCAGUUGUAACGCCAAGAUUGGGAACGAAAGACUUAUGCUGAAUCCCCACACCGCUUACCACACAUUCAAAAUUUGUUACCUACCCCCCUUUACUCGGUGUUAUAAUUUCGUUUUCCCGGCAUUGAGAGAGAGGCAAUUUGCCGUUCCAUCAUCCACAGAUCCUGUCUAUAUCCUUCCGAACGAGUUCGUUCGCAAUCUCGGUUUAAGAUCAUCGGCUGAAUACUUCGCAACCGAACUCAAAUCGUUAACAAAUACCAGGUACACUGUUAGAAAAUUUUUUACCUUUUAGGGUAUAAACGGCUUGUCCCAGGGUGCAUACCUUUUGAGGUAUAAACGAUAUACCUCCUUCGAGGUAUGGUAACUUUAUACCUCCUGAAGGUAUAUUAUUUGCAUCUCAUGGUAUAAACAUAUAUCCCCUUGAAGGUAUAUUUUCGAACUGUAAUUUUCAAAAAUUGGAAUAUUUUAUUUUUUCAGCGCAAUAUAAGAGUAGCACUUUCCUGAUCCAGCUCGUAACAAAUUUAGAACAAAAUAAUAUUGAACGACAAGUGCUUUAACAGCAACAACCCCGAGAAGGAAAGAGAGAAAGAAAAUACCUGGACACACACGCACACACACAAACAAACGUACCCACAAACUCAUAUUCACAAACAUAUUCACAAAGUGCAUCUGUAAAAUGUAAAGAAGAGCUCAUGCAGAUUACUCGCCACACAAGAAGAAACGUGGGCGGAUUUGGUAUAGAACAGAUACUGGUAUAAUACAUCGUGGCUUCGCAAAAUGUGGGGCACCUUCGCCCGGCGAGCAGCUAUAUGAGUCAGGACGCGUAGAUUUGGUCAUUUCAGGAACAACUAGGACGGUGCUAUAAACCAUUCCUGCUAUUAAUUAGGAUGCAACUGUAUUGCUGACUGUGUUUCCUAAUUAAAUUACUGCUUAGCUGAGAUGGUAUACUGUCUCCACCACAAAUUAAUAUGGUACCACAGGUUGAUAUCUAAAGGUAUACAAAAUACCUAAGGUAUAAAUGCAAGACAGAAGUACCUUAUUAUACCCUCAUCUGGCGUGGAAGGUAUAGCCUCGGCGAUUUAUACCUCUCACAUGGUAUAGACGUUGGUGAUGAGGUAUAAAUAUGGUAGUUUAGUCCUAGUUUAUACCUUCGUUAUACCUCUUCUAUACCUUUUCUUCUCAGAGAGAGGACCCAAAUUUGGGCCCUUGUCGUACUCCCGAAAGACAUUUGUGCGUUGAAGCAGCAUGGCUUCCAAGAUGUGUAGUAUUCAAGCGAUUCGCUAAGUAGUAUUUCAACCAUUUACACUUCUCGUCAGCUUGCCGUCCUGCCCCAGUGUGCCUGGUGUGCAGAGCACACCGGAAAGCAUCCGAGUCAUGCUUGUGCCGCACUAGGCCACUGCACAUCGAAGACAUUACGCCAGUCUCCUGUGCGCACCAGAAUUUGUCUAGUGUCACACCAGACCACUUUGAUAUGCACAUAAAACACCACAUCAGUCUAUCGUGUGAACACCAGGAACACUAGAAAACAUCAGAACAGUUCUGCUGUUUUCUGUGUCUUUUUUUUUCCUCUUCGCUAUGAUAACAAUUAUUGUCUCCAUUUCGAACCUCUCCCGAGAGUCGUGAAGAGAGAGUUGGAUUCCACGAAAGGGCUAUUGAGGGAGGUGACAAAGAUCUACGGUUCUGAGAACUGUAUGAGGAAGACGUGUUGCUUUAGAUUCUUAUGUCCAAUUUUUCAUUCCAGGCGACAACCUUUUAAUUGGCGUAGCUUGCAUCACUUUAAACGAGACGAGUCACCAGGGGAAAGAAGUCACCUCAGGUCAAAGAGGUGCAAGGAUAGUCUUCGAGGUCUGGAAUGCCUUUAUCUGACGUUGACUCAGCAAGGGAAGAAUCAGCCCUGCGCAACGCAAUAGAGCUGAAAGCAUCUAUUGACAGCUUCUGUUUGCGAGUGCGACACGAAAGGCUCCGAAGAGAAAGAGCAACACUUCAAACAACUGGAACCGUUCGAACGAUUAACAAUUCAACUACAACAAUUAUUCGUAAGGAAAUAUAAUAACUUUAUAAUGGCUAUCUUAUAAAUCGAGCGGAGAGUCAAACCUACUGCAAAUGCUUUAAGAUUUACCAGCUCGCGUGACUCAGUGGUUAGUGGUUAGGGGCUAAGAGGGUAACCCACGCAGCUCCCAAUCCAGAAGUCUUGAGCAAAUUAGCGCAUGAGCCCUGCCAUGAAAGAUGAAAGUCACUGAAAAGGUUAGCCAGCUGUAGGAGUCGAUCAAGUUGAGACUGCCAUGUCAAGCUGAGACUAUAUAGGAGGCAGAUGGGUUCGAAUCCCGGUGCCGGCUGUGCUGCAUGGGGUUUCCCUGGGUUUUCUUCACCGCUGUCAGACAUAUGUCCGCACAGUUCCCUUAGAAGUCGGCCCAGGAUGUACAUUCCCCUCAGAGCGUCAGUCGUGACGUUGCCCACCUCUGUGAGGCCGACAACGGAGAGCUCUUUCGGCACUACCACCACCACAUACGCCAUACGUUUGAAAAAACUGCUACAUUGGUUUACUUCGUUUAUCCUUCAAGUAGUGGCUACUGAAUAUUACUUAACAAUUCGAUUCGAUUUCCAGGGAGACAACGUUCAGCGCAUGGUUGGACGUCGCGACAGUGACAUUCCUGGAUCAACGAACUGGGUAGAAGAGGAUAUAUCCUUCGGGGCUAAGAGGGUAACUCACGCAGCUCCCAAUUCAGAAGUCUUGAGAAAAUAAGCGCAUGAGCUCUGCCAUCUCGCUCCUCGUUUGCUGUACAGGAACGGCGCUAAGCUCUGCUGUUGCAUCGACGUUGCAAGACAGAAUAGAAAGGAAAAAAGCAUGCGAAAUGAUCAAAGUCGGACCCCGUUGCGACAAAAGCUGAGAGGAACUCAUCGUGCGUGUCCCAAACAUCCUCGCCCUACAUGACACUCCGGAGAGGGAGAUAGCAUUAUUGAGACUUAUAGAUAAUUUGUUGUGUAAUUGUUAAUUGUCAGGGGCUUGUAGUAUAUUCAAAUAAAUGAAUGAAAUGAAU